rfam:Triticum aestivum genome assembly, contig: Triticum_aestivum_CS42_TGACv1_scaffold_134703_2BL
UUUCUACUCCCUUCGUCCGAAAAUACUUGUCAUCAAAAUGGAUAAAAAUAGAUGUAUCUAAAACUAAAAUACGUCUAGAUACAUUUCCUUUUAUCCAUUUUGAUGACAAGUAUUUCUGCACGGAGGGAGUAUUUG